GAUGAACGCUGGCGGCGUGCCUAAUACAUGCAAGUCGAGCGAACGGACGAGAAGCUUGCUUCUCUGAUGUUAGCGGCGGACGGGUGAGUAACACGUGGAUAACCUACCUAUAAGACUGGGAUAACUUCGGGAAACCGUAGCUAAUACCGGAUAAUAUUUUGAACCGCAUGGUUCAAAAGUGAAAGACGGUCUUGCUGUCACUUAUAGAUGGAUCCGCGCUGCAUUAGCUAGUUGGUAAGGUAACGGCUUACCAAGGCAACGAUGCAUAGCCGACCUGAGAGGGUGAUCGGCCACACUGGAACUGAGACACGGUCCAGACUCCUACGGGAGGCAGCAGUAGGGAAUCUUCCGCAAUGGGCGAAAGCCUGACGGAGCAACGCCGCGUGAGCGAUGAAGGUCUUCGGAUCGUAAAACUCUGUUAUUAGGGAAGAACAUAUGUGUAAGUAACUGUGCACACCUUGACGGUACCUAAUCAGAAAGCCACGGCUAACUACGUG
rnacentral:rRNA from 1 species